UCCAACAUGUGGAAAGUGGUGCUCCUGACUCUAUGUACAGUAUUGGCUGUGAGAGGAUUGGCAAAGGGUGCUCCUUUCCAACCAGAAGAAACAUGGAAACCUCUAGAUAACCCUAGAAACAGAGACCUGUUUUUCAGAACGCUCCAGGCUUAUUUUUUGGACAGGGGUCUUGAUCUCAGAAAGUUCCCAGCUACUUUCACUAUGAACAAUGAAGGACCAAGGCCUGUCAUGUUCUACUCGGAUCCUAUUGCUUCUGCAUUUGCAGAUUAUGAAGAAAGGAGAAAUUCUUUUCCAACUUAUUUCAAAGGCUGAAAGAUGCUGCUGACCAAGGUUGAAUAAAAUGAUUGCAAACUUACAUCUCUCCAUAAAUAUGAAAUAACAUCGAAGAGGGACAAGCUUGCAUUAUUAAUAAAUCCAGCCUCAAUUUAUAGCAGGCAUUAACUUUUGAACUUCAUGCGAAGUUGUAACCUUCACAGCAAAAUAUUACUGCUUUGACUUUUUAACUGUUACCUGACAAUUUAAAUUUUUUCUCACUUAUCACAGUUUUUUACCUAUGGAAUCUGAUGUCAUGCUGUAAUUGGCACAUUUGCUGUCUAUUGACAAAUGUGUGAUGUUUGGCUACUGCAGAAUUGUGUUUGUUUAAAUGUGAAUAAAUGAGGAGUGCAGCAGAGUGGUUUUAACUACUGCUAAGUGUCUUUGUUCAAAAUUGAUAAAUAAAUGUUACCUUUCAGUUUA